rnacentral:rRNA from 1 species
CCCAGUAAACGGCGGCCGUAACUAUAACGGUCCUAAGGUAGCGAAAUUCCUUGUCGGGUAAGUUCCGACCCGCACGAAAGGCGUAACGAUUUGGGCACUGUCUCAACGAGAGACUCGGUGAAAUCAUAGUACCUGUGAAGAUGCAGGUUACCCGCGACAGGACGGAAAGACCCCGUGGAGCUUUACUGUAGCCUGAUAUUGAAAUUCGGCACAGCUUGUACAGGAUAGGUAGGAGCCUUUGAAACGUGAGCGCUAGCUUACGUGGAGGCGCUGGUGGGAUACUACCCUAGCUGUGUUGGCUUUCUAACCCGCACCACUUAUCGUGGUGGGAGACAGUGUCAGGCGGGCAGUUUGACUGGGGCGGUCGCCUCCUAAAAGGUAACGGAGGCGCUCAAAGGUUCCCUCAGAAUGGUUGGAAAUCAUUCAUAGAGUGUAAAGGCAUAAGGGAGCUUGACUGCGAGACCUACAAGUCGAGCAGGGUCGAAAGACGGACUUAGUGAUCCGGUGGUUCCGCAUGGAAGGGCCAUCGCUCAACGGAUAAAAGCUACCCCGGGGAUAACAGGCUUAUCUCCCCCAAGAGUUCACAUCGACGGGGAGGUUUGGCACCUCGAUGUCGGCUCAUCGCAUCCUGGGGCUGUAGUCGGUCCCAAGGGUUGGGCUGUUCGCCCAUUAAAGCGGUACGCGAGCUGGGUUCAGAACGUCGUGAGACAGUUCGGUCCCUAUCCGUCGUGGGCGUAGGAAAUUUGAGAGGAGCUGUCCUUAGUACGAGAGGACCGGGAUGGACAUACCUCUGGUGUACCAGUUGUCGUGCCAACGGCAUAGCUGGGUAGCUAUGUGUGGACGGGAUAAGUGCUGAAAGCAUCUAAGCAUGAAGCCCCCCUCAAGAUGAGAUUUCCCAACUUCGGUUAUAAGAUCCCUCAAAGAUGAUGAGGUUAAUAGGUUCGAGGUGGAAGCAUGGUGACAUGUGGAGCUGACGAAUACUAAUCGAUCGAAGACUUAAUCAAAA